AUUUUGUAAAAUCUUUUUAUACAAUACUUCUUUAAUGGUUAACUGAUAUAAUUAAGUUGAAAUUAUGCUUAUAUCUUUGCUGAAUGUAAAGUUAUCACGUCUGAAAGAUGUACAGGAUAGGUGGAUGAAAACUUUUUUGACACAGUGUAUAUAUAUAUAUAUAUUCUAAAAUUUUUUGAGAAUUUUUAUUUAAGUUGACCUAAUAAUACAAACAAACAAAAAAGUCAUUGAAUUUUUGGAAUUUUAAAACCAUUGGGAAUUCGGCAGAUUACACGGUACCAUUGAGCUAGCUAACCUUAUUAUGUAUCAGUAUUUAAUGUAUCUAUAAAAAUAAUAAUGUUUUAUUGUAGGUUGAUGACUAAUGUUUACAAUCAAAGUUUAACAUGGCUGGUGGCAAGUGUAAAGAGAAAUUUGAAGGCACAAACAUUUAUGAGGUUGUUGUUGAGAGCAUCAUGUUAAGUAAAGCAACUGCAGUUUCUGAAGUCAGAAGAAAUAUCAUGAAUAUAUUGAAAUAUGCACGCGAUUGAUCAAAUGGUGGUGGUCGGGGCAUAAAUGGCAACUCGGAUAUAUAGUUGAAAAAGUAUAGUAGGGCAAGCAAAAUGUACAUUCUAGCUGUUUGGAUAGAAAAUACAGAGAAAUA